UAGAGACCGUUAGGCAGAUGGGAAAAGCCUGCAGAAAAUGGGAAACAGAAGAGGGAAACAUGUUUCAUCCCAAGCGGCACACUGCCUUGGAACGAGCCCCGCAGGAGCACAGACUGUUGUGGCUGUCGGUCCCUCGCGCGCCAGGAGCGCCGGCGGAGGGGACGCACACGGCAACAACACACACCACACACAGCCCACCGCGAGGAGCACUGCUCAGAGACCCCCCCUUUGGGUACUGAUCCCCCACUGCUGGUCCCCCAGCUCACCCCAGGCACCUCUGCAGGGCUCCAACCUUGCAGCAAAUGGAGCAUGCUGCUACCCAAGCAGAGCCUUAACCUGGAACUAAACAACCAAACCACCUGGCUGAUAAGGUGUUUUAUCACAAGCACAGCAACCUGUGGGUGAGGACACUCCCCAACGUACUUCCAGAGCAGUGAUAAGACCCUCUUGCCAACACAGAUUUGCCAGCGCAGCCCAUCCCAGCUGCAGGUGGCCAUGACUGGGUAUGGGCUUUGGGAAAACACGAGAGCAUCCUUCAGAGCAGCUCACACAAAGCACUGUUUCUUGCAUCCAAACCCAGCAUCUUAUCCCAGAGGAAGGCAAAAAAGAGCUCAAAACAUGACACCCAUCUAUGAGCUGAUAUGAAAGCAGCAUGUCCCCAAGGCCCUGCUGCCAGCAGUCUGGAUGAUGUCCUCGAUACUCGGCCCCCCAGCAACAUCCUCAUGCAAAUCACCAUCAUCAGCGCCUUCCUCAGUGAAUACAAUCACCAUAAUAGUGGUAAUAACACAUGCUCUUGGCUACAGGCAGCAAUUCCUCUCCAACACUGCCACCAAACGACACCCGUGCAACACUACAAACUCUAACCCCUGCCAGAACCAGCAUCCCAGUCAGUGCCAUCAUUUAAAAACUGAGUAAAAGCCAUCAAGAGAGUCUGAAGGAGCCCUCUGCCACCCUCCUCCCUUCCCCUCAGCCGUCAUUAGCAACCAACUUCCCCAAAAUUCAACGAUCCCACUGAAAGCAACAAGGCAACAACUUUUGUCAGGAGUCCAACAUCCGACCGGAUCAAAACAACAUCACACCAAAACCCAAGGGGAGACAUAGAAGUUCAGUCCCCGAAGCUGCACGUGGAGCACCAUCUGCGAGAGCUAGUCAAUAUUUCACAUUAUUUAGACAGCCAGGAUCUCUUUCGCGUACAUAUUUGCAUCCCGGCAUAUGUGCUUCACCGACGCGGUGCUCCGCACAGCUCCUGGCCCAGAUCCAUCGCCCAACAGAUCCCAGCGGCACCACCCGCACACGCCAACCCUCCAGGGGCAGGACCAGGGGAGCCACUGUGCCCACGAAGUUCAACCCUGAGCCCGUUCCCAGCAGGAAAAUCUUGCUAUUUAAUCUUGCGCACGGUGCUGUAACAGUGUGUGCACGCAUGUCCGCACCACUGCAUGGUAACCCCAAAACCUGCACAGUGAAGCAGUUCCAAACACCUUUUCUUACUCCCGGAGCUGGAGAGAGCUGGGUAGAACCCAGAAGUGUUCAGCCUGGCUUAGCUGUGAGCAGCGCCGCUCCACAGCGUGUUUGCCUCGUCCGUGCCACCGUCGCCGCACGGCUCCGGCACAGCUGGGCUGGCAGUGAGCCAGCAUCUGGAGCAGGAGCGACACAUUUCCCAGGGAACGCGAGUCCCAUCUGGCAGAGCACAUGGUUGCAGCAUGGCAAACCCCCUGGAGCACCCCAUGCCACACGAGCCCUGCGGCCCCAGCCGCAGACGUCCCCACAGGAGCCCCUUCUCCCAGCCAGACCUCGGUCCCAGCUGCAGCUGCUCCAACAGGCGGGAACACCAGCAUGGAGAUCACAGCGAGACACAUCCCAUGCUGCAGAUACCACUGAGCACAGAUGCCCAUGGCAUGUCCCCACUUGCACAUCGUGCAAGAACAUGGAGCCACCUGCAGAGCUCCAGGGAGGGGACACAAUCCAGCCCUGCCAUCCAGCACCAGGACACCUGCACAUGGCUUAAGCUACUGGUACCUAAAGAGGCAUUUUGGUACCAGUUACAUCUGUGGUCUUACUGGGGCAACCCCCUGCUUAUCCCAUCUUAUUCUGCCCAGUAAUAACACAGGGUCAGUCCCAGCCCCAAAUGUUCUGGGGUUUCCUCCACAAUCAGCAUUAUCACAUCCCACUACAGUGACCCAGUCUCAGCACGGAGCUGCAGGAGCAGGAGGAGGAAUGGGAAGUGUCCAAGAUGGGGACAGGUUCAGAUGGACAUGCUGGAGACCCUGCAGGGCAGUGUCACCGUGACAGCUGGGGAAACAGCUGUAGAACUGAGUUGAUGCCACCAGCCCAGCCCCAAAACCACCUCCCAUCAGGCAGCCCUUCCCAGGGACUCCCACAAGUCCACGGCAGCAGCGCUGCUUCUUGGAGACGCAUAAGCCCAGCACAGGAGCUCAAAGCACAUCCCAAAGCUUUGCAGGUGGAGAAACUGAGGCGCAGGCAGGUGCAAUGACUUGCCUGCAUCACCAAGCUGGCCAGCAGCAAAACCAGAACACUACCUGAACCUCAGCCUCAAGUCUACCAGUGACGCUGUUUUCCCUUGCUAAGUGCCCAGAGAAGCUGUCCAGGUUGUAUUUACCUGGCUUGUUCCCUGCCAGGAACCAGAGCUGGAGCAGGGAUCCAAGCUACAGUCUUCCUGGGGAUGAACCCAAUGCAAAUCCAACCCCGAGGCACUGCCAGAGCAUCCCUUCCUCCUUACAGCCCUCCAGCAGCUCCUGAAACCUGCUGCCCCGCUCCCCUGGGCAGGACCUGGAGGAGAAGCUGCUCCUCCAUGCGCCGAGGAGCUGCACUCGCAGGAGGCGGCCGCGGGCAAGUCACUCCCUCCUUGGAUCUCCGUGCCAGAAAGCGAUGCCAAGGGGAGAAACUCUACCGCAGUGAGCAACUCACAGCUCACCCCAACCAUGGGCUUCUGCCAGGAGAAAGGGAGGGGAAAAGGGGAAACCACAACCAUCUCCAUCCGCCCGGGGCCAGAGUGUUUGCUGAACCAGCGCAAGAUCUGUUUUGCCCAGGGACACGCCGACAGGUCUCGGCAGGCUGAGCCACGCUCCUCCAGCCAACUGCUUGCCCAGAGGCGGGCUGGCACCACGGUGCAAGGCAGGGAGGUGCGAGUUGGCAGCACUGCCAGCCCCAGACUGGUUUUGCCCCCCUUUCCUGCCAAGUUACACCACGCCAAACGCGUGCGUGUGCCCAUCAGCACGGCCUCUGACCGCCUGGGGAAGGCACCAUCAACACUUAUGCCAGCAUGGGCACACAAGACCCAAAGCAGGCCAGCUCUGAGGGUAAAAGGAUUUAAGCACAGAGGUCGUCCCUCAAGCCACCUUAAUCCUGCAGCCAGGUGACAGCCAGCAGCCAAAAUGCAACCCCUGUGAUGCUGCAGCAGGUACAGAGGAUUGGCACACCUGUCCUCCUCCUUCCCAGCUCCAAGGUGACAAAACAUCCCUGUUUUGCACAACCGAGACAUAAAUCAUGAAGGGCUGUUAUUAAAGGAACUUGGCGGGUGCAGAUGUGUCAGCCCAGUUGAAAACAUCUUCUUCAUCUUUCCCCAGUUCUCCAAAACGGCACGAGUUUGGGGGGAAGAGGUACAGCCGGGGGACUCACCACCAGGAGGGGAUGUGACCGAUGAGGAGAUGAGAUACCAGCAACCGCACAAACCACACACCAAACGUCUGGAGGCCGGAGGUUGUGCUGGGGGAAGUGGGAGGGAAACAGGCCCCACGUGCUCAGCCCGCUUGGGGUUUGCCAAAGUUCCCCAUGAGGAGGGAGCCAACAGAAAGCAUCCCCUGGCAGAGGUUCUAAACCUGUGGACUCUCUCCAACUUGGUCACCCCAGACCCCAGGCCUGAAAUUCAGUCCCAGCUGGACAAGUCGGUCAAGUCUGUGUUUUGAAAGAGCCAGGCAGGAGGGGGACAUGCUGGAGGUGACACGCUGGAGCUGAACACACCUCCCCUGCAUACACAGCUGCAGCCAGUGAGCCAGGCUACAUGUCUGAUGUGACGUGGGUGUGUGCCAGUGCUGGGAAAACUGCUCCAUCUCAUUACACAUGCAGGUGAUCAGCUGGCACCUUCAUGGCAUCCCCAUGCUGCCCUCCACACUGGCUGCCAACCUGGUGUAGAGGUACAGCUCACUUGAACACCUGUGAAGGGUCAAGGACAGUAAGUGGGAGCAACAUGGUGACACCACUCAAUGGGGAAUUCACAUUCCCGGUCAGGCUCCUUGUUUUCCAAACCAGCCAGAAGCACCAAUGCACCAGGGAGAAGCAGCAUCCACAAAGCCUCUGCUCAUGCUCUGGGACGGGUUUCCAGUCUCUGCUGUUACAGAAUCAUAAAAGCAUUUAAGUUGGAAAAGACCUUUAAUCAGGUCCAACACAGCCCUGCUGGCCUUCAGAGGCAAGCAGGUGGCCACGUGUGAUGCUGGCUGCAAAGCACACCCUGAAGCUGAGCCCUGGCCAUGAGCCAUCCUUGCCUGAGAAGCCACAGCCCUGUCACCCGGAAGACCAGUGGCCUCCAGCACCCCGGGAGAAGUGAAGUAACUCUCCCCCAUCGGCCCCAUCUGCCCGUUACACGUUUCUGCCACUUAUGAAAUAUUUCCAACCGCAGGCAUCUCACUCCAUCCUCCCCAGGCCAUGAUGGAUGGACACACUGCCAGGAAUCAGGCUGGCACCACACAGUGCUCUGCGUCGGGCUGUGGCCGCAGAGGGGUCUGAGUUGAAAAGCUUGGCCCCUUGGACCCUUCAAUCCAAGUCCAGCAGGGCUGGGAAACACAGCAGUGAGGCUUUAGGUUUAUUUCCUUGGGGUGUUUUCCACUGUGGGCACUCAAGGGAGAUUUGCAGCCCCGCUGCAUUCAGGGUCUCAGCUGGCUUCUGGGCUCAGCGCAGAGCAGGAGCUGCAGCCGCCCUUGGCCGGGAGCACAGUCACCUCUUCCCCAGUCCAGCUCACAGUGUCUCACAGGCAGCCAACUGGGACAACAGUCCACACCACAAACAGCUGGAUAAACGCUUAUGUCCUCAUGAGUCCCGCCAGGGAGGGAGGGGAAGGGGGAGAAGUCCAAGCACAGUAAGUAUCCCUCCCACCAGCAGCAGGACGGACAUCAUACCAGCACCAGCUGCCAAUGCUCACUGUCAUCAGUGAGCCCGAUCCUCUCCCUGCAGAAACAGCAGUUUCCCAGGGAAGACUCUCUCAGGGCUCCCCCUCCAGCACACACUUCCCCAUCUCUGCCCCACGCAGGGGGCAGCUAUUCCUCAUGCACACAUUUAUGGCUACAAACAGCUGCAAGCCCAGAGUGCUGACAGUGUAAAUCUUUGCCGCCUCCUCCCCUGCCUGCCAGGGCAGCUCUAGUGACACCCGAGGCACCGGAGCCGCCUUGACUCUGUGCCACACACGAGACACCAGCGAUACGAGCCCCUGAACAAGCUGGGCUGAAACCAAAGCCCCCAGAUCAGAUGUGCCUGGACUGCAGCGGCGGCCGGUCCCCAACCCUGUCCCUGCAGCCCCAAACUGCUGCCACAACCCACCACUCCCCGCCCCAAAACCCGACCCAGCCAUAUUAACACCCCAUGUCAUGGGACUGGCAGUUGCUUCAAAGCCUUAAUUUACGGCCUCAAUUCUCUGCAUCCCCUGAAAGCCUUCAAUCCCAUCCCCGGGAUCCAGAACAGCCAGGGCAAUUUAACUCCCCAUUUAAUCUUCUAAGGGCCCUGGCGAGCUCGGAGACAGCAUCCUCCGGCGGGGGGUCCAUGCUCCCGGCCUUUGCCGGCUCGAACACCACCGCGCCGCUUUUCCCUUCAGCUGCAAAAAUCACUACCUUAAAAGCCAAGGCGAGUACUCCCUCCAGCUCAGAGCGGCUCUCUAUUGUUUCUUUUAAUUUUAUUUUAUUCCGCGUGGGAAUCUUGUGUCCAGGCUGCUUUAUUUUUAAGUGGCUCUUGCUCAAUAUUUACUAUGGCUCGCAGCUGCGUCAGCACAGGAACACCGCGCGCUCCCGCUGGGUUUCCGACCGGCCCUCCCGCAGCCACUGCCCCGUGCCGAUGCCGUGCCAUGAUUUUCCUGCCGUGUUACUUUUGCAGUGAAUCACCAGCCCCUCCUCUGCAGUCAGGGCACACCGAUGGGCAGGGUGUGACCACAGGGCAAGGGGGGGGGCAGCGGUUCCCUGCCUCCAUGGAAAUAAAUAUCAUCAGGCUGAGUGAGCCCUGCCGCUCACCUCCUCCUCACCCGGGAGCUGGAACAGCCCCAACAGCCUGGAGAUGGUGGAGGAGGAGAAAAUGGGAAGAAGUGGCUGGAAGGGCUCAAGGGACUGGUGCUCGCGCCUCCGCUCUGCCCCCGGCGUCCUGCAGACUCAGUUUCCACCACGCCACAAGUCAAAGGCAAUCCAAGGUAUAUACAAGCACAUACUGGAGACAGGUAUAUACCAGCCUAUAUUGGAGAAAGACACCCGUAAGAUCUCCCACCAGCUCCCCGUUGACACCAUCUCCACGAGGACAGUGAGAAGCCACCCAGGUGGGGACAGGAUUCCAUCCAGCAGAGGUGGCUUUUCCUCCCACUGGAGGGACCAGGAUGGAAACCAUCCCACUGGGACUCUUGACAUGAUGCACAUCCAGGCCACACAGCCUGAAACAUGGAAUCUGGGAAGCACCGAUCCAGUCCCACAUUAAUCCUGAUGCUCAAACCAGUGCCAACGCUCCUGGGUCACUGCCUGCUACUACAGCAGAAGCUUCUCCCACGUGCCCCCAGCCUGAAAUCCACCACGUCAGAUGUCUCUCCUUUUCCACUGGCAUAAUUAAACCUGACACGCCAACGGGGGUCCACUGAAA